AUUGAACGCUGGCGGCAUGCCUUACACAUGCAAGUCGAACGGCAGCACGGGGCAACCUGGUGGCGAGUGGCGAACGGGUGAGUAAUGCAUCGGAACGUACCUUUCAGUGGGGGAUAACGUAGCGAAAGUUACGCUAAUACCGCAUAUUCUGUGAGCAGGAAAGCAGGGGAUCGCAAGACCUUGCGCUGAUUGAGCGGCCGAUGUCAGAUUAGCUAGUUGGUGAGGUAAAGGCUCACCAAGGCGACGAUCUGUAGCGGGUCUGAGAGGAUGAUCCGCCACACUGGAACUGAGACACGGUCCAGACUCCUACGGGAGGCAGCAGUGGGGAAUUUUGGACAAUGGGGGCAACCCUGACUCAGCCAUGCCGCGUGAGUGAAGAAGGCCUUCGGGUUGUAAAGCUCUUUCGGCCGGGAAGAAAUCGCACGGGCUAAUACCCUGUGUGGAUGACGGUACCGGAAUAAGAAGCACCGGCUAACUACGUGCCAGCCGCCGCUGUAAUAC
rnacentral:rRNA from 1 species